AUGAACGCCGGCGGUGUGCCUAAUACAUGCAAGUCGAACGCGUUGGCCCAAUUGAUUGAUGGUGCUUGCACCUGAUUGAUUUUGGUCGCCAACGAGUGGCGGACGGGUGAGUAACACGUAGGUAACCUGCCCAGAAGCGGGGGACAACAUUUGGAAACAGAUGCUAAUACCGCAUAACAGCGUUGUUCGCAUGAACAACGCUUAAAAGAUGGCUUCUCGCUAUCACUUCUGGAUGGACCUGCGGUGCAUUAGCUUGUUGGUGGGGUAACGGCCUACCAAGGCGAUGAUGCAUAGCCGAGUUGAGAGACUGAUCGGCCACAAUGGGACUGAGACACGGCCCAUACUCCUACGGGAGGCAGCAGUAGGGAAUCUUCCACAAUGGGCGCAAGCCUGAUGGAGCAACACCGCGUGAGUGAAGAAGGGUUUCGGCUCGUAAAGCUCUGUUGUUAAAGAAGAACACGUAUGAGAGUAACUGUUCAUACGUUGACGGUAUUUAACCAGAAAGUCACGGCUAACUACGUGCCAGCAGCCGCGGUAAUACGUAGGUGGCAAGCGUUAUCCGGAUUUAUUGGGCGUAAAGAGAGUGCAGGCGGUUUUCUAAGUCUGAUGUGAAAGCCUUCGGCUUAACCGGAGAAGUGCAUCGGAAACUGGAUAACUUGAGUGCAGAAGAGGGUAGUGGAACUCCAUGUGUAGCGGUGGAAUGCGUAGAUAUAUGGAAGAACACCAGUGGCGAAGGCGGCUACCUGGUCUGCAACUGACGCUGAGACUCGAAAGCAUGGGUAGCGAACAGGAUUAGAUACCCUGGUAGUCCAUGCCGUAAACGAUGAGUGCUAGGUGUUGGAGGGUUUCCGCCCUUCAGUGCCGGAGCUAACGCAUUAAGCACUCCGCCUGGGGAGUACGACCGCAAGGUUGAAACUCAAAGGAAUUGACGGGGGCCCGCACAAGCGGUGGAGCAUGUGGUUUAAUUCGAAGCUACGCGAAGAACCUUACCAGGUCUUGACAUCUUGCGCCAACCCUAGAGAUAGGGCGUUUCCUUCGGGAACGCAAUGACAGGUGGUGCAUGGUCGUCGUCAGCUCGUGUCGUGAGAUGUUGGGUUAAGUCCCGCAACGAGCGCAACCCUUGUUACUAGUUGCCAGCAUUAAGUUGGGCACUCUGGCGAGACUGCCGGUGACAAACCGGAGGAAGGUGGGGACGACGUCAGAUCAUCAUGCCCCUUAUGACCUGGGCUACACACGUGCUACAAUGGACGGUACAACGAGUCGCGAACUCGCGAGGGCAAGCAAAUCUCUUAAAACCGUUCUCAGUUCGGACUGCAGGCUGCAACUCGCCUGCACGAAGUCGGAAUCGCUAGUAAUCGCGGAUCAGCAUGCCGCGGUGAAUACGUUCCCGGGCCUUGUACACACCGCCCGUCACACCAUGAGAGUUUGUAACACCCAAAGUCGGUGGGGUAACCUUUUAGGAGCCAGCCGCCUAAGGUGGGACAGAUGAUUAGGGUG
rnacentral:rRNA from 1 species